AAGAGAAAACGGACAAUUGCCCUGAGUUUAUCGAAGGGAGGAAAGUCCGGACACCAACUUGAUAUAUCGAUAUUUCGAAAUGUUAAGUGAAAAGCGCACGGGUUAACGACCCGCCGCGGAAUUCAUAACGCGAGAGGUGCGAACAGAGACGCCAAAGUUCGAAAGGACUAAGGCGCCCCAAGUUUGUCAAGGGGCGAAUUUCAUGGCAACAUGAAAGUGAAACGGCUAAAUCCUUGCUGGGUGCAAGUCCGUAUGGACGCUAGAUCCCGAGAGCAAUCUUGGGACCAGAGAGAUAAUUGUCGCUCCGCUUUGGCGGGGUACAGAAUCCGGCUUAUAGUUUUCUCAUUAAG
rnacentral:RNase_P_RNA from 6 species